AUUGAACGCUGGCGGCAUGCUUUACACAUGCAAGUCGAACGGCAGCGAGGAGAAGCUUGCUUCUCUGUCGGCGAGUGGCGAACGGGUGAGUAUAGCAUCGGAACGUGCCAAGUAGUGGGGGAUAACCAAACGAAAGGUUGGCUAAUACAGCGUAAGCUCUAAGGAGGAAAGUAGGGGACCUAAAUAAGGCCUUUCGCUAUUUGAUCGGCCGAUGUCGGUUUAGCUAGUUGGUGGGGGAAUGGCCCACCAAGGCAAGGAUCCGUAGCGGGGGUGAGAGGACGGUCAGCCACACUGGGACUGAGAUGCGGCCCAGACUCCUACGGGAGGCAGCAGUGGGGAAUUUUGUACAAUGGGGGAAACCAGGAUCCAGCCAUGCCGAGUGGAUGAAGAAGGCCUUAGGGUUGUAAAGUUCUUCUGUUAGGGAAGAAAAGCUAGGUUUUAAUAAAAAGUAUUGAUGACGGUACCUAAAGAAUAAGCACCGGCUAACUACGUG
rnacentral:rRNA from 1 species